GCGUUGUCCGGAAUCAUUGGGCGUAAAGCGCGCGUAGGCGGCCCGGUAAGUCCGCUCUGAAAGUCCAGGGCUCAACCCUGGAAAGCGGGUGGAUACUGCCGGGCUAGAAUCCGGAAGAGGCGAGUGGAAUUCCUGGUGUAGCGGUGGAAUGCGCAGAUAUCAGGAGGAACACCAAUAGCGAAGGCAGCUCGCUGGGACGGUAUUGACGCUAAGGCGCGAAAGCGUG
rnacentral:rRNA from 1 species